AGCAUAUCAAUAAGCGGAGGAAAAGAAACCAACAGGGAUUGCCCUAGUAACGGCGAGUGAAGCGGCAACAGCUCAAAUUUGAAAUCUGGCUUUUGGCCCGAGUUGUAAUUUGUAGAGGAUGCUUUUGGUGCGGUGCCUUCUGAGUUCCCUGGAACGGGACGCCAUAGAGGGUGAGAGCCCCGUAUAGUCGGACACUAAGCCUAUGUAAAGCUCCUUCGACGAGUCGAGUAGUUUGGGAAUGCUGCUCAAAAUGGGAGGUAUAUUUCUUCUAAAGCUAAAUACCGGCCAGAGACCGAUAGCGCACAAGUAGAGUGAUCGAAAGAUGAAAAGCACUUUGAAAAGAGGGUUAAAUAGCACGUGAAAUUGUUGAAAGGGAAGCGCUUAUGACCAGACUUGUUCCAGGUUGAUCAUCCAGUGUUCUCACUGGUGCACUCUGCCUGGGUCAGGCCAGCGUCGGUUUUCGUAGGGGGAUAAAAGCUUCGGGAACGUGGCUCCUCCGGGAGUGUUAUAGCCCGUUGUAUAAUACCUUUACGGGGACCGAGGUUCGCGCUCUGCAAGGACGCUGGCGUAAUGGUCAUCAGCGACCCGUCUUGAAACACGGACCAAGGAGUCGAGGUUUUGCGCGAGUGUUUGGGUGUUAAACCCGCACGCGUAAUGAAAGUGAACGUAGAUGAGAGCUUCGGCGCAUCAUCGACCGAUCCUGAUGUAUUCGGAUGGAUUUGAGUAAGAGCGUAUAGCCUCGGACCCGAAAGAUGGUGAACUAUGCCUGUAUAGGGUGAAGCCAGAGGAAACUCUGGUGGAGGCUCGCAGCGGUUCUGACGUGCAAAUCGAUCGUCAAAUAUGGGCAUGGGGGCGAAAGACUAAUCGAACCAUCUAGUAGCUGGUACAAGGGUGCGCAUAAAACCAUUCU
rnacentral:rRNA from 1 species